UGGGGAAUUUUCCGCAAUGGGCGAAAGCCUGACGGAGCAAUACCGCGUGAGGGAGGAAUGCCUUUGGGUUGUAAACCUCUUUUCUCAGGGAAGAAGAUCUGACGGUACCUGAGGAAUAAGUAUCGGCUAACUCCGUGCCAGCAGCCGCGGUAAUACGGAGGAUGCAAGCGUUAUCCGGAAUCAUUGGGCGUAAAGCGUCCGCAGGUGGUUUCCAAAGUCUGCUGUUAAAGACUGGAGCUCAACUCCGGAACGGCGGUGGAAACUUGGAAACUAGAGUUCGGUAGGGGUAGCAGGAAUUCCCAGUGUAGCGGUGAAAUGCGUAGAUAUUGGGAAGAACAUCGGUGGCGAAGGCGUGCUACUGGACCGUAACUGACACUCAGGGACGAAAGCUAGGGGAGCGAAAGGGAUUAGAUGCCCCUGUAGUCCUAGCUGUAAACGAUGGAAACUAGGUGUGGCUUGA
rnacentral:rRNA from 1 species